rnacentral:rRNA from 1 species
GAUGAACGCUGGCGGCGUGCCUAAUACAUGCAAGUCGAGCGAACAGACGAGGAGCUUGCUCCUCUGACGUUAGCGGCGGACGGGUGAGUAACACGUGGAUAACCUACCUAUAAGACUGGGAUAACUUCGGGAAACCGGAGCUAAUACCGGAUAAUAUAUUGAACCGCAGGGUGCAAUAGUGAAAGACGGUUUUGCUGUCACUUAUAGAUGGAUCCGCGCCGCAUUAGCUAGUUGGUAAGGUAACGGCUUACCAAGGCAACGAUGCGUAGCCGACCUGAGAGGGUGGUCGGCCACACUGGAACUGAGACACGGUCCAGACUCCUACGGGAGGCAGCAGUAGGCAAUCUUCCGCAAUGGGCGAAAGCUUGACGGAGCAACGCCGCGUGAGUGAUGACGGUCUUCGGAUCGUAAAACUCUGUUAUUAGGGAAGAACAAAUGUGUAAGUAACUAUGCACGUCUUGACGGUACCUAAUCAGAAAGCCACGGCUAACUACGUG